UAGUCAAUGGCCUAAAGGCUGAACCAGUAACUUGGAAGAAUGUAAAUGUAUUAGUAAAUAAUACAAUAACGAUUAAUUCGUAUAAAAUUCUAAAUAGGAUAAUGAUAAUGACAAUUUUCUAUUUAUAAGUCUUGACCAAAUUACGUGCCAGCAGUCGCGGUAAUACGUAGAAGACUAGUGUUAGUCAUCUUUAUUAGGUUUAAAGGGUACCUAGAUUGUAAAUUAAACUUUAAUUAAGUAUUUUUUUACUAGAGUUUUAUAAAAGAAGGAAGAAUUUUUGGUGUAGAGAUAGAAUACUUUAAUACCAGAAGGACUGUUAACGGCGAAGGCAUCCUUCUAUGUAAAAACUGACAUUGAGGGACGAAGGCUUGGGUAGCAAUAAGGAUUAGAUACCCUAGUAGUCCAAGCAGAAAAUAAUGAGUGUCAUAGACUAGAUAAUAUAUUUAGUUUAUAAAUGAAAGUGUAAGCAUUCCACCUCAAGAGUAAUAUGGCAACAUAUAAACUGAAAUCAUUAGACCGUUUCUGAAACCAGUAGUGAAGUAUGUUAUUUAA
rnacentral:rRNA from 1 species